GCUCGGCGGUGGGGGAGCAUCUCCUGUAGGGGAGAUGUAACCCCCUUUACCUGCCGAACCCCGCCAGGCCCGGAAGGGAGCAACGGUAGGCAGGACGUCGG
rnacentral:misc_RNA from 1 species